rnacentral:rRNA from 1 species
GUGAAGGCCGGGCCGGCAGCGGCGGGAAGACGGGGGGUGCUAGCGUUAAUCGGAAGUACUUGGCGUAAAGCGGACGCAGGCGGUCUGUUAAGUCGGAUGGGAAAUCCCCGUGCUCAACCUGGGAACGGCAUUUGAAACGGGCAAGCUAGAGUCGUGUAGAGGGGGGUAGAAUUCCAGGUGUAGCGGUGAAAUGCGUAGAGAUCUGGAGGAAUACCGGUGGCGAAGGCGGCCCCCUGGACAAAGACUGACGCUCAGGUGCGAAAGCGUGGGGAGCAAACAGGAUUAGAUACCCGGGUAGUC